rnacentral:lncRNA from 1 species
GAAGGAUUUUGAAACUUUGUAACUCAGAGGGGGCUUCUGAAAACACGCUCGAUUUCUUCCGCGAGUUUUCAGGCGGAGGAAAAAAGCGACCGGCGCCGUCGCCUGUAGCCACGCCCACUCGCAUGACAUCCCCCGCAGGCCACGCCCCGCGCACCUGUCCGCCAGGUUCUGCGGGAGAGAGGGGAGCUGGGUGAGUUUGUUCCGCGGCCUUUUGCGAUUAUUAUUUUAUUUUUCCUUUAUUUUAAUGUAGAUAAAACUGAACUCAAUAAAUUACGUAGUCUAAACCGCGUUUUUUUAACGUAUGGCUUUUCUUAUUUUAACAAACCAACUGUGUUGCACAGAUAACGUGUAUUACUUUUACAUCGAAGAAAAGCUCUAUUGUAGCAGUAAAAACUGCGCUGUAUUGAGAGUAAUGCCCUUUUUCCGUACGUUUAUUUAUCUUUCUUUAUCAAACAAUCCGUGAACUUUGCUCACUAAAUCAAGCGUUGAUUUCUCCAAAAAGAAAGUAGGCUACCUAUAUUGUAAAGAUUGUUUUCAUUAUUUUCCAGAGCAAGAUGUGAUAAAGUUCUUAUAUUCAUGGUAACAUUUCGCUUGCAACGAAUACUUAUUAGUUUAAAUGGUCUUUAAAUUCUCAAUUACGCUGUUUUUGUAUUUUCAGGUUUAGUGUCUUCGAGCAGGACUCGAUUCGCACUUAAUAAUGGGAGUAUAAACGUAAGUAUAAACAUUGUAUUCACUUUUUCCCCGUAUCUCAUUGAAAUAUACUCUGCACUAUCUGCCCUGGUGAAACCUUUGUUGAAAUCAUCUCUAAAUUAUCUUCUAAAUAUAUAUUUCUGUGUUUCCAGUUUGGUGUGUUCGGGCAGGACAAGCUUGGCUCAGCUGCUGGAAUCAUCAAUGAAACGAAGUUCCAGUCUUCAUUCUGGUCGCUGCCCCGACAGAUCCAUUGGAGAAACAGUAACGUGUCGUAUGUUUCUGUGCUUUUCCGUGUACUGUAGUUGCGUGCAAUUAUUUUUGUACACUGUUUAUUUGUAAAAGCUUUUAGCGUGAAUGUAUCCGUGCUUUGACACUUUGUAAUUUAAAUCCAUGUUACUUUUCACUUCAGAUCCUGUGCAUCUAUCGUAUGUAAUGGAAUGCGUUGUUUAAUGUUGCAUGCUAAUGUUUUUGUACUCUGCUUACUUGUAAAAAGUCUUUAGUGUUAAUGUAGCCUUGCUUUGACGCAUUGUAAUCUAAAAGGUGUUAAUUUUCAUUUCGAAUCUGUGCAUCGCUCGUACUGGAAUGCUUUGUUUUGUAUGCAACUUUCGCUCAAUAAAUUGUUGAUUGGAUU